rnacentral:rRNA from 1 species
GACGUAGGGCGCGAGCGUUGUCCGGAUUUAUUGGGCGUAAAGAGCUCGUAGGCGGCUUGUUGCGUCGACUGUGAAAACCCGCGGCUUAACUGCGGGCUUGCAGUUGAUACGGGCAGGCUAGAGUUCGGUAGGGGAGACUGGAAUUCCUGGUGUAGCGGUGAAAUGCGCAGAUAUCAGGAGGAACACCGGUGGCGAAGGCGGGUCUCUGGGCCGAUACUGACGCUGAGGAGCGAAAGCGUGGGGAGCGAACGGG